GGUUGCGAUCAUACCAGCACUAAUGCACCGGAAUUCAGCAGAACUCCGCAGUUAAGCGUGCUUGGGCGAGAGUAGUACUAGGAUGGGUGACCCCCUGGGAAGUCCUCGUGUUGCAACCC
rnacentral:rRNA from 1 species